GAUGAACGCUGACAGAAUGCCUAACACAUGCAAGUCGAUGGGGAAGUGGUGCUUGCACCAUGGCAACCAUGGCGGACGGGUGAGUAACGCGUAAGGGACUUACCUGCAGGACUGGGAUAACAGGGGGAAACUCCUGACAAGACCGGAUAAUGUCAUGGAGCUGCAUGGCUUUAUGAUGAAAGGAGACGCCUGCGGAGAGCCUUGCGUCCUAUUAGCUAGUUGGUGAGGUAAUGGCUCACCAAGGCGAAGAUAGGUAGCCGGCCUGAGAGGGUGGACGGCCACAAGGGGACUGAGAUACGGCCCUUACUCCUACGGGAGGCAGCAGUGGGGAAUAUUGGACAAUGGGGGCAACCCUGAUCCAGCAAUUCUGUGUGCACGAAGAAGGUUUUCGGAUUGUAAAGUGCUUUCAGAAGGGAAGAAGUAAGUGACGGUACCUGCAGAAGAAGCGACGGCUAAAUACGUG
rnacentral:rRNA from 1 species